UUGUUCAUACAUUGGUUCAAUUUUAAAUCUCAUUAAAGAUGCUAUUCUCAAUCCCUUCUAUCCCUGUCUUUCUUUUAGUUGAUAAUUUGAAAUUAUAUUAAAAAGAAGUUGCUAUCAAUAUGGGUAACUUCAGAAGAAAUAGGAACCGAUAUUCUCCAAUAAUUCAAACUGAUUUAAAAUUAAAUAUUCCUUGAUCCAAACUAUUCAAAAUAGCAUCUCACAAUUAAAUAAAAGUGUGCUCAUACAAACUGAUCCAACAGAUAAACAAAUAAGCAUUAAAUUUUCUAAUUUUUGAUCAAUAAAAUAUCAAAUCCUUCAGAUUUUGGAGGAUGCAGACCAUCCUCUUCACUAUUUCAUGUAUAAGUGUAACAAUAACAAUAGUUAUUGGUGGAGAAAGAUAACAUUAAAUGAAGGAAUAUUACUCCCAUAUUUGGUAACUACAACAACCAUGAAUCAUGAAUAUAAUAAAAAAAACUACAAACAUUGCUACUUUCAAAGACAGAAUUCCAGAAAACAAAUCAUGAAAAUUAGGGAGAGAGAAUAUCUACCUCCAAUUUCAUCAAUUUAAAGCUAAUACUGCCGUGAUGUCUCUCUACCAAAAAAAACUAAUAUUGAUGAAUGAUAUACCUUUUUCCUCAAAUUCGUGAGUAGCAGUCUCGAAUCGGACAUAAAAAAAACUAUGUGAGAAAUGAAGAAGCAACUAAAUA
rnacentral:lncRNA from 1 species